GGCGGCGUAGCUCAGUUGGUUAGAGCGCAGGACUCAUAAGCCUGAGGUCACUGGUUCAAAUCCAGUCGCCGCUACCA
rnacentral:tRNA from 1 species